UCUUCCUCUUCCUUCAAAGAUACACAGAUUCUUCAUGCAAAGAUCCAAUCCUUACCCUUUUAUCCCUUCCAAUUCCCAAAAAGCUUGAAUCUUUCAUCACCCUUUCCAUGGAAUCGCCGGAGAACCACCGCAUACCUCUUGAAAAAGCCCACCAGAUCGUUCUCCGCUGGGAUUCCACCGUCUCUGAAGAAGCUAGGGCUCGUAUGAUCUUCCACGGGGAUCGUCAAGAGAUCGAUUCUUACCUACAAGCCAUCGAUGAAAUCCAACGCUCCAUGGAGUCAACGCUCCUCUCCCAUCACGACCACGACCACGACCACUCUAAGAAAGUCACCACCACCAUCCAGAUUGCCAUGGCUCGUCUCGAGGACGAGUUUCGCAACAUACUCAUCUCCCACGCUACUCCCAUUGAAACCGACUCCCUCUCUGAAUCCAUCUCUUCCACUCACCUCCCUUCCAGAACCAGCACUUCUAUCGGCGAAUUUCCCGAUGCCGACGACUACACUACCAGAGGGGACGAAGACUCCGUUUCUUCUUCCUUACUGGAACGAGGAGAGAGCAGUACGACAACCGCAAGCUACAGAUCCAUGAGCAGUAUUCGCGAGAUCGAUCUCAUACCAUCCGAUAGCAUAUACGAUCUCCGCUGCAUCGCCGAGCGUAUGAUCGCUGCCGGAUACUUCAGAGAGUGCGUCCAGGUGUACGGCAGCGUACGCAAGUCUGCGGUCGAUUCCAGCUUCAAGAAGCUCGGUGUCGAGAAAUUGAGCAUCGGCGAUAUCCAGCGCCUCGAAUGGGAGGCCUUGAACGCCAAGAUCGGCAAGUGGAUACGCGCCGCCAAAGUCUGCAUCAGAGUUUUAUUCGCCAGCGAGAAGAGACUCUGCCAGCAAAUCUUCGAGGAUCUAGGGACGGCGGCCGACGAUGCGUGCUUCAUGGAAACGGUUAAAGGACCGGCGAUCCAGCUCUUCAAUUUUGCUGAAGCCAUCAGUAUUAGCCGUAGGUCGCCGGAGAAACUGUUCAAGAUCUUAGAUUUACACGAUGCCUUGUUGGAUUUAUUGCCUGAUAUCGACGCCGUUUUUUACUCCAAAUCAGCCGAAUCAAUUAGUGUUCAGGCGACCGAGAUACUCUCCAGGCUUGCGGAGGCUGCCAGAGGGAUGCUGUCGGAGUUCGAAAAUGCAGUCCUUCGCGAACCUUCUCGAGUUCCGGUCCCCGGAGGGACGAUUCAUCCAUUAACAAGGUAUGUGAUGAACUACAUAAGCUUGAUUUCAGAUUACAAACAAACGCUGGGCGAAUUAAUAGUCUCCAGACCUGCAACUGGUUCUAGAUAUUCCGAUGAUUUGAGUACUCCAGACAUGGAUUUCACGGACCAUGAAGGUCAGUCACCAUUAGCGCUCCAUUUGAUUUGGAUCAUCGUGAUUUUGCAAUUCAAUUUGGAAGGAAAAUCCAAGCACUAUAAAGACAACUCCUUGGCUCAUUUGUUCAUCAUGAACAAUGUUCAUUACAUUGUUCAGAAGAUCAAAGGGUCACCGGAGUUGAGGGAGAUGAUCGGUGAUUAUUAUUUAAAAAAGCUUACAGGGAAGUUCCGGCAGGCUGCAACCAGAUAUCAACGAGCAACAUGGGUUGGGGUGUUGUAUUGUUUGAGAGAUGAAGGGCUUCAUGUGAGUGGAAGUUUCUCAUCUGGGGUUUCAAAAAGUGCUCUGAGAGAGAGGUUCAAGUCGUUUAACGCCAUGUUUGAGGAAGUACACCGGAUGCAGGCGUUAUGGUUAAUACCCGAUACACAGCUUCGUGAGGAACUACAGAUUUCCAUAUCAGAGAAACUGAUUCCAGCGUACCGGUCGUUUCUUGGAAGGUUCAGGACUCAUAUAGAGAAUGGGAGGCACCCUGAAAACUAUAUCAAGUACUCAGUUGAAGAUCUUGAGACCGCGGUGUUGGAUUUCUUUGAAGGAUAUGCAGUUUCCCAGCAUUCGAGAAGAAGAUCACAGUGAAAUGUUGGAAUAUUGUAGGACACUAUUCUUUAAUUUUUUUGGUGGGGUGUUUCAUUGAUUGGUUUCAGUUCUUCUCAGGCUCUCUCUCUCUCUGUCUCUGUGUGUGUGCCUCUAAUCAAGGGAAUGGGCUGAAGGAAAGAGGAAGCCUCCUGAUAAAAUAUCCCCUGGGAAGGAACAUUCACCUUAAUCUUGAUGAUAAGGAAAUAGGAAUCAGUGAAUGAGGUUUUGAGGGUGGCUGGUCCAAAUUGGGUGUUGUUGGACUUGACCUGCAUGGAAUGGAAGCAACGAGCAUUGAAUUUGUUGGUUGACCAAAAAUCCAUUUUCAUAGAUGGAGGCCCAAAAAGUUGUGGAAGAAAAGCAGUCAACAAACAAAUGUUGGGUAUUUGCUUGGAAUGAAAUGUAUUCAAGUCAAGGUUGUGUCUUAAAACUCACAACAUAGUGUUAUUCCAACUAUUACCAAAUCGAGAUAACUGAUUUCCUACAUGUUGAUGUUGGUAUCAAUUCAUUACUUGUUAUGUAUUGAUAA